rnacentral:tRNA from 1 species
GGGCAGGUGAUCCGAUUGGUAAUGGUGAUUCUCUGUAAAAGAAUUGGUUAACAGCCGUAAAAGGUUCGAUUCCUUUACUGCUCA